rnacentral:rRNA from 1 species
AUUGAACGCUGGCGGCAGGCCUAACACAUGCAAGUCGAACGAGUGGCGGACGGGUGAGUAAUGUCUGGGAAACUGCCUGAUGGAGGGGGAUAACUACUGGAAACGGUAGCUAAUACCGCUUACCCUCAGUUGUGCCCCGAUGGGAUUAGCUAGUUGGUGGGGUAACGGCUCACCAAGCCGACCAUCCCUAGCUGGUCUGAGAGGAUGACAGGCCACACUGGAACUGAGACACGGUCCAGACUCCUACGGGAGGCAGCAGUGGGGAAGAUUGCACAAUGGGCGCAAGACUGAUGCAGCCAUGCCGCGAGUAUGAAGAAGGCCGUCGGGUUGUAAAGUACUUUCAGCGGGGAGGCGUUACCCGCAGAAGAAGCACCGGAUAACUCCGUGCCAGCCGCAGCGGUAAUAC